rnacentral:tRNA from 1 species
GCGGGUGUAGUUCAGUGGUAGAACGUUUGCUUCCCAAGCAAAAUAUCGUGGGUUCGAGUCCCAUCACCCGCUCUA